GUGGGGAAUAUUGGACAAUGGGCGAAAGCCUGAUCCAGCCAUGCCGCGUGUGUGAAGAAGGUCUUCGGAUUGUAAAGCACUUUAAGUUGGGAGGAAGGGCAGUAAGUUAAUACCUUGCUGUUUUGACGUUACCGACAGAAUAAGCACCGGCUAACUUCGUGCCAGCAGCCGCGGUAAUACGAAGGGUGCAAGCGUUAAUCGGAAUUACUGGGCGUAAAGCGCGCGUAGGUGGUUCAGCAAGUUGGAGGUGAAAUCCCCGGGCUCAACCUGGGAACUGCCUCCAAAACUACUGGGCUAGAGUACGGUAGAGGGUAGUGGAAUUUCCUGUGUAGCGGUGAAAUGCGUAGAUAUAGGAAGGAACACCAGUGGCGAAGGCGACUACCUGGACUGAUACUGACACUGAGGUGCGGAAGCGUGGGGAGCAAACAGGAUUAGAAACCCGUGUAGUCC
rnacentral:rRNA from 1 species